AGAGCGAACGCUGGCGGCAGGCUUAACACAUGCAAGUCGAACGAUCCUUCGGGAUAGUGGCGGACGGGUGAGUAACACGUGGGAACGUGCCCUUAGGUUCGGAACAACACAGGGAAACUUGUGCUAAUACCGGAUAAGCCCUUACGGGGAAAGAUUUAUCGCCUUUGGAGCGGCCCGCGUCUGAUUAGCUUGUUGGUGAGGUAAAGGCUCACCAAGGCUACGAUCAGUAGCUGGU
rnacentral:rRNA from 1 species